AGCAUAUCAAUAAGCGGAGGAAAAGAAACCAACAGGGAUUGCCUUAGUAACGGCGAGUGAAGCGGCAACAGCUCAAAUUUGAAAUCUGGCCCUCGGGUCCGAAUUGUAAUUUGUAGAGGAUGAUUUUGGUGCGGUAUCUUCCGAGUUCCUUGGAACAGGACGCCUUAGAGGGUGAGAGCCCCGUACGGUUGAAUGCCUAGCCUCUGUAAAUCUCCUUCGACGAGUCGAGUAGUUUGGGAAUGCUGCUCUAAAUGGGAGGUAAAUUUCUUCUAAAGCUAAAUAUUGGCCAGAGACCGAUAGCGCACAAGUAGAGUGAUCGAAAGAUGAAAAGCACUUUGAAAAGAGGGUUAAAUAGCACGUGAAAUUGUUGAAAGGGAAGGAUUUGUGACCAGACUUUUUCUGGGCGGAUCAUCCGGGGUUCUCUCCGGUGCACUUUGCCCAGUAAAGGCCAGCAUCGAUUUUCGGCGGCGGAUAAAAGCAGUGGGAAUGUGGCUCCCUACGGGGAGUGUUAUAGCCCAUUGUAUAAUACGCUGCUGGGGAUCGAGGUACGCGCUUCUGCAAGGAUGCUGGCGUAAUGGUUAUCAAUCACCCGUCUUGAAACACGGACCAAGGAGUCGAACAUUUAUGCGAGUGUUUGGGUGUUAAACCCUCACGCGUAAUGAAAGUGAACGGAGGUGAGAGCCCGUACGGGUGCAUCAUCGACCGAUCCUGAAGUUUUCGGAUGGAUUUGAGUAAGAGCAUAACUGUUCGGACCCGAAAGAUGGUGAACUAUGCGUGGAUAGGGUGAAGCCAGAGGAAACUCUGGUGGAGGCUCGCAGCGGUUCUGACGUGCAAAUCGAUCGUCAAAUCUGCGCAUGGGGGCGAAAGACUAAUCGAACCAUCUAGUAGCUGGUUA
rnacentral:rRNA from 1 species